CUUUUCCAAUGAUAGCUUUUUCUUUUCUUUUCUUUUUUUUAUGAAAAAGAUCACACAGAAUUCGCCAACAAACAAAAUUCCAAAAGAAACUUUAAAAAAAAAAAAAGGAAAACAAUAAUUCCCCCAAAAAACAAAACCGAAGUCUGGCUUUUCCUUCCCUUAAGAUUGUCUGGAUGAGGCCGCCCGGCCCUGGGCGCGGGGCGCUAAGUGCCGGCGGGGCAGCUCGCUCGCCCCUCAGCCUCUGCUCUCCCUAACUCUCUCCAUCCUGGGGGCGAGGACAGGACACCUGGGCGGGCGGGGUGUGCUGGGGACGGGGGCCCGUGAAGCUGGGUGCUAGACACUCACGAUCUAACAGGAAAUAAAAAAUAAUAUUCUGCACGUCAGAAUGUGUUCGUUUUUUUUUAUAAUUUCAUAGCUAUUUUUCACAGUUUUAAAAAGUUUAUAUUUAUAUAUAUUUAUAUAUAUUUAUCUUUAUAUAUAUAAUUAAAAAGUGGCCUCCUGGAAAGGCGUAUGAUACAGGGCAGGGCUCGUGGCCGGUACAAUAAAACUGUACAGGUCCCGAGGGCCGCCUCCUCUGGGCGGCGGCGAGGCCUGCAGCACCAUGGGGUUGUCUGUAGUGUGAGGCUCGGGGCCCCCUCCCGGGCUCCGUCCCCCGAGUCCAGGCCGUCCUGAGGGAGGAGGCCGGCCCACGGCGGGAGGCUUGGGGUGGGCUCCGUGCCAAGGGGGCAGGACUGGGGAGCUCCGGGGGGACUGCGGGUGGCCCACGAAUGACCCCCAGUGCCGCGGCCCGGGCUGGGGGGCCCGCCUGCUGAGGGCGACAAGGUGCUGGAGGGAGGCCCCGAGGGGGGCGGGCAGAGCCCCACGCUGGCAGCGGAGGGGAGCCCCUGUCCUGGGGCCACCGAGGAGUUGGGAAAGGGGCUGGGGACGUGUGCACAUGUGUGCACACACGUGCAUGCAUACAGGCACACACAUGUACACUCGCGCGCGCCAGGGCACCCACGGGCACACUCGCAUGCACACACCCGACGCACGUGGCCCCCGAGCCAUGGCAGUGAUGGUGAGGGGCCCUGGGUGGCAGGCGGGCGCGGGCGCUCAGCAGAGCACGGGCACGCCGUCGGUGGAGAAAAUCAUGCCCGUGGUGGGCUCGUAGGUGCCCGCGAGGUAGUACAGGCCCUCGCUGUCCUGGUACUUCUUGGUCUUGAGCAUCUGCUCGUACUGCUCCAGGCCCACCACCAGGCACUUGUGCGACACCGUCUGCACGUCAUUCUCGUCCACGUGGGAGGACUGGUACAGGGCACGCUGCGGGCAUGAUGGGCGGCUUCAGGGGACAGGAAGACCCCCCGGUCCAGAGGACCAGAGAAAGCCUUGAAGGCAGAGAGCCAGAGACCGAGAGAGACAGACCCCCCCCGACAGACACAGAGACGGAGAGACACAAAGACACAGAGAGACCCAGAGACAGAGAAAACCCCAGAGACUGAGACACAAAGAGAGACACACAGAGACACAGAGAGACCCAGAGACAGAGAGAGAAUACCAGAGACUGAGAGACACAGAGACAAAGAGACAGAGUCAGAGACACAUAAAGACACAGAGACACCUAGAGACAGAGAGAGACUCAAAGACCAAGAGACACAGAGAUGGAGACUCAGAGACAGAGAGAUCCCCAGAGAAACCCAGAGACUGAGAGACAGAGACCGAGAGACAUACAGACCCCCAGAGAGACCCAGACUGAAAGAGACAGAGCCUGGGAGACAGAGACCAAGAGAGACACAGACCCCUGAAGAGUAAGAGCCGGAAAGCGACAGACAGAGGCAGGACCCGGCAGGGCAGCCCGGGGACCGGAGGCUGGGGCCCCGCCCUCCUACCUCCAUGAAGUCCUUCCUCUGGCUGGAGGCCCGCAGGGCCGCGGGGAGGCUGCGGCCGGACUUCUGGUCCCAGUGCUGCGGGCGACAGACGGGGCGGUGUGAGCCCGGCCGGCCCCACCCGCCCCGCCCCGCCCCCGCCCCAGGCCCGGCGCCCACCUGGCCCUCGUGCAGGCGCUUGCCCGGGCUGGUCUCCUCGGGGUGGUAGAACCACUUGACGCGGACCACCAUGUUGCUGCCCCAGGACUCCCACAUGCUCUGGAUGCGGCCGAUGUAGGGCAGGUUGGGGCGGCCGGCCGACAGGAAGACGGCGCAGUCGCCGAUGCGGAUCAUCUCCUUGCCGCGCACGAUGGCCUUGUAGAAGAGCUUGCGGGCCUUGCCCUUCAUGCCGCGGCGCUGCGGGACACGGCGGUCAGGGCGCAAGGCGGCCACGGGCCAGGCAGCCCCUUCCUGCUCUAACCGGGGGCCCUCUCAUCUCCGGCACCCAGCGUCCCCAAGAGGGACUCCGUUUACACUCAGCCUCGCGCAGCUAAGCGAGCCUGUUCCAGAGCCGUGCGGGCCAGGGCCGCCCGGAGGCCGCGGACCCCGCUCCCGCCGCUGGCCUUCGAGGCCCGGCAGCCCCUGCUCUGAUCCCCACUUCCCAACAGGGCGGGGAGGGCCGGGGAGGAGACGGGGACAGUGAAGCCACGGGGCUCGCUCACGGCUCCACCUCCCCCGGCCGUCUCACGUGUGGAGGCCACCACAAAGCACUGAUUCAUUCAACACACCCCCGGGGGGCCACAGAGCUCGCCACUCACUGGGCAGCCUCCACCUACACUGCCACAAAGGGCGCAGGGGCUCGGCAUGACUCAACCCUCCAUGGCUUGACCAGGGCCGCGGGAGCAAGGGACACGGGCUGAGGGCUGUCCCUGGGACGUCAACGCCCAGGCAUGGCCGACUGCCCCUGGAGAGGGAAGCUGCUGACGAAGGGCAGAGCCCAGGCCCGCAGGAUCCAGCACUGGGCCCACGUCUGCCAGGCUGCCAGGCCCCACGACAGGCUGGGCGUUUGUUUGUUCACUCAACAAACAUCUCCUGCAGUCUCCUCGGUACCUGAGCCUGGGCUGGCACUGGGACAGAUGUGCAGGCUCUGAGAAGGGACCCAGCACAGCACCAGACAGCUCCAGGGCCUGUCACUGUCCCUAGGGGACGCCCCUGUCCUGACCCAUGAACCCAAGCCCAAGCAAAGCUCUGCCCUCCUGUGGAACAGGCAUUUGCUCUUCUCAAACCAAGUCCUAAAAGUCAUUUUCCCUUCUUACACUGGCUGCUAGGUGGCUCAAUGGCAGUUUUGUUGCCUAAAUAGUAGAAACCUCCAUGCCAAUUUCCUACCUAGCCAGCAGCCCCUUUUCUGCCUUUAAUUCACUGGAUUCCUGGUGGUGACAGGCUUUCUGAUGUCCGAAUAGCUAAUUUCAUAUGUUCUGUAAACUGCUCAAAUUCUUUCCAGUUCAAGGCGUGGAGUAAAUCAGUUCAAGAUGAGAGCAACAGCUCAGACUCCUAAAGCGACUCUUUGACAGCAGCCAGGUUUCUGGCACCGAGUGGCUACUCCCCUUCCCACAGGGCCCACCCCGGUCCACAGGGUUCCCCAGUGGGGCUGAUCCCAUCCCUGGGGUGGGCACAGGACUCAGUCUGGCCAGUCCAAACAUCCCAUCCUCCUCCUGGAAAUUGUGAUUGGCUCAGGGGUAGGGUGAGGACCCAAGCCACAGAUAUUCCACCAACUUUAGCCUGAACACUUGGGACAAAGAUACUUCCUUCCUGCUGUCACUUCUGAGCUGGUAGAUCGUGAGCUGAAAGCUACUGGGGCUGCCUGAGAAGGAGACCAGUAGAAAGGAAGGAGAAACUGAAGCCUGGAGCACAGACCCAAGAGUGAGUCUGAAGACAGCCUUUGAGCCCCUGGAUCCAGCUGUACCUGAAGCCAAACAGCCCUGGACUUUUUUAUUAAAGAGGCCAGUAAGUUUGGCCCUGUGCUCUGUUCUCUGCAGCUGUAAGGCCCUCAGUGACACUAACAUUGGAACUUGCAAAUGGCAGAUGCUAAAAUAAGGAAUGGGUCGGUCACCAUGGGGGCAGGACAGCAAGGAUGUGCCUGUCCUUGGCUCAGAAGUUGUCACCACUUGGAUGCCCCCUCAAUAAAGCACCUGCAGGAUGAGAGCUCCAGGGGGCCCAGUCUGGAAUGUCUGGGUGAGGCUCCUUACAGAAGAUCCUCGAGAAUCUAUGUGUCAACUUUGCUGUCUCAAGAGGUGGCCUUGCCUAGAGAGGCUCUUUCGGCCUGGAGCCAGCAACCCAAGAGUGUGGGACGUCAGCUACCCCUUGUCCUGCAGGGCGGAGAAGCAGGGCACCCACCCCAGGUUCUAGUCAGGGCCUCAAAGGCAGGGUGGCCUAAGGAGAGCAGGAGCUGGAGGUGGGGAGCCCUCCUGGACCUCCUGCCUGGGGGCACAGCCUGGGGCAGAUGGAGCUGUCCUCUCCCACUGGGCGGGGGGGGGGAGUCUAAGUGUCCUUGAGGGUGUGGGAGGGCCUACAAGCUGCUAAGACAGAACCCAAAGCUAGAGUCUUGAUUCAGACCAUCCCUCGACUGUUCUGGCCUUGCUGACACACACCAGGGAGCUGAGAGAACACAAACACACCAGACGCUUCCCGAGCUCUUAAGAGGAGCAUUGCCAGAGACCCCACAAGCUCACUGCUGUCAACCCCCAAGGCCCUGGCUCGCCUGGCAGGACCACCUCAGGAGAGGUACAAAGCCCACAGGGCAUCUGCUCCCAGCCCAUCUCAGGGCGGCCUCCAAGGACUCUGGCCCAGCGACAUGGAUGCGGCGGGCAAAGCUGGCCGCUGCGCCUGUGGACAAGCUCACGUGGCUGGAGGACAAAAGCCCACAGGCUCUUCCUGUCCAGGGACAUGGGACAGACUGGUGACUAUAAAAGAGUUCCUCUCCUGCCCGUGGAAGCUCCGUGUGUGCGCGUGAGUGUGCAUGUGUGUGCGUGCCCACGUGUGUUGCAUGUCCACAUGUGCAGGCGGCAGGCAGGCACAGGGAGGGUCCAGAGGGCUCCUCCUAGAGAACCAGCCGUCCUCUACAUAGGGUGUCCUGGUGACCCAGCCCCGGCCAGCCAGAAGGCUCUGCCUCUCAAGCCACCCUGGUCAGCUCAGGGGCGCGCACGGGGACAGAAGGGCCCUCUGCUGUGGCCACUAGUAGCGGGGCCGGAGGCCAGCAGCACUCCGCCAGGGGAGGUUGAAUAGCAGCCGAAAUGAAGCGAACGCCAAGGAAACCAGGCUGUUUGGCCAGGAGGUUUCGAGAGCCCAGCUGCGUGGGCCUCAACAGCCACGCACUGGCCCUGGCACGCAGUCGGGCCUGGGCCCUGCAGGGAUGGCCGGUGCAGGGCCUGGAGGGCCUGCUGCUCUAAGGACAUGGGCUCUGCAGCCACCAGAGCUGAGUGUCCCCGGGUGCCGACACUCAGCGUGCCAUCCACAAGGGGGGUCCCGGCAGCUCGCCCCAGCCCUCCACCACAGAUGAGGGGGAAGGAAGGGUGGGCCGGCGACAGUCAGCCACCAAAAGCAGGUAGCGCCCCCAGCCCGCGUGCCCGCGCUACCUGGGUGGGCUUGCCAAACCACUUCCACAGCUGGCGCGCAGGCAGGAAGGCGGCGAUCUUGGGCCGGUUCUCCACUGACGGCAGGCGCUGCCGCUUGGCCAGCUCCUUGGUGGUGGGCAGGUGGACGCCCUCUCUCUUUUUGGGGCGGCUCUUGGCCCCGGCCCCGGCCUGAGCCUUGGGCUGCAGAGGCUGCGGGGGCUGCGGCGGGGGGGCCUGGGGCGCGGGCGCCGGCGCCUUCUUGCCCGGGGAGUGGGCCGAGGAGCGCGCCUUGCCAGUCUGCUUGGGGGCCUUGCUGGGGAGGGCUGGUGGGGCGGAGGGACCGGCCGCGGGGGCAGGGGCCGCCUCAUCGUCCGAGCUGCAGGAAGAAUCGUCUGUGGUGGAGGAGGAGGAGGAGGAGGAGGAGGAAGAGGAGGAGGACGAGGAGGAGGAGGAAGAGGACGAGGACGAGGAGGAAGACGAGGAGGACGAGGAGGAGGACGAGGAGGAGGAGGAAGAAGAGGAGGACGAGGAGGAGGAUGAGGAGGACGAGGAGGACGAGGAGGAGGCCCUGGAGCUGGAGGCCCCGCAGUUCCGGCCCCCGCCGCCCCGGCCUUCCUCCUCUCCCUCUGUCUCCGAGCUGCUGCUGCUGCUGCUGCCACUGUCGCUGCUGCUGCUGCUGCUGCUACUGCUGCUGCUGCUGCUGCUCUCCGACUCCUCGGCCCCGUCCUGCUCAGCCUGGCCCUUGUCCGGGCUCUUGGGGUUCCCCGAGUCCUCGAACGUGAGCCCACCUCCGGGCUCCUGGGCCAGGUCGCCGUCCCCGGCCUUGGGCCGGGCCGCCUUGGGCUCGCUGCCGCCCGCUGCCGGGGGGUAGCCGCCCAGGCCCAGGAGGGUCUUGGGCUCCUGCCAGCCCCCGGCCCCGGGGUCCUCCCGUAGAAGCAGAGCUUCCUUGGCCUUCUUGCUUUUGGGUGACGUUACACCCUCAUGGUCCAGCUUGACGAGCAGCUCGGCCUCCUCCCCGGGCCUCCGAGUGCCCUUGGUGGCCAACUCCUCAGCAGCCCGGGCCUUCUUGGGCUUGGGGCGGGUGGCAGGCAUGGUGAUGGGCAUGGCAACGAGGGGGGCCGGGGCCAGGGUGGUGGCGGUGGGGGCCGGCAGCUCCCCAAAGGGCUCGGGGGCCGGGCAGCUGGCGAAGGUGGGCGGCGCCGGGCUGGGCUGAGGGGGUGUUGGGCGAGCCUUGGGGGCUUUGGCCCGCUUGUCUGCGGGUUCUGGAGGGCUCUUCUUGGAACUUGGGGUACUGAUCGGCUCUAGGGCCAACGGGGCACUGGGGACCUCAUCUGUGGAGCCCCCCUCCUCCAGGACGGCAGUUCUGUCUAGAAGAGAGAAGGAAAGAACAGAUGUGAGGCCAGAGUGGGGGUUCGCCGAGCCAGAGAGCCUGCCCAGCGCUGCUCUGCCAGCCUGUGCCCUCUGUGGGCCUCGGGGCCGCGGCUCUCGCAUCCCAGUCAUCCCACGCAUUGUGACCCUAAAGGGGCCCUUGGUGGCCUUGGCUGUUAGCCUGAAGCCCUCUUCUUUGGACUCUGGAGCAAACAGGCCCCGGGUGCACCUUGGCUCCGCCUCCCUGAGCCUCAGCGCCUCACUGGUCACAGCGGUCCAAGAGCAGAGGCCCCACGGGGCGGGAGUGGUCUCUGUGCUGAGUGCCCGCCCCCACCUGCCCUGCCCCUGCGUCUCCGCUGGGCACGGCCUGGGCCACCUACCACCCUUGGCUUUGGCACUCGGUUUCCGCCCGCGCCCUCGCGCCUUGGCGCCAGGUUCCUCGGACCCUGGCGCGCCCCCAUCUUUGCUGUCCCCAGUAUCUUUGCUGGUCUUCCGGCUGCGGCGCUUGGCGCUCGGCACCAGGAGGGCUGGGGACGGCUCAGCACCUGCAGGGCAGGACAGACAGACAGUGGCUCAGGCCCGGGUCUCCACUCCCCCAACCUCAGGAGCACUGUCUGUCAUGGGGAGCAGGGAUGGGGAGGAGCCUCACGGCACUGUGUGGCUGACCCCCCUCGGCCUGCCUGGAUAGGCUGUGUGGUUGGGGUGGGGGGCCCAUCUGCAGGGACUCAGCUCAGGUGUCUGUACACACCAGCAGCUCAGUGGAGGCUCCCCGAAGGCAUGCCCUGGCAGGGGCUGAGAAGAGAUGCUGACUUGUAUGUUUUUUAUGAUUCCCGUGGAGUGGUGCUCAAAACCACUGAGGUUCUGGACCCCUGAAGUCAGGCAGUCCUAGCUGAAGUCCUAGAGGUCCGAGUCCUAGCUCUGCCCCUAACUAGUCAUGGGACCGCGGGUAAGUCAUUUUA
ensembl:lncRNA